CAGUGAGGGGCCCGCGUACCGCAAAAAAAAUAAAAGAAAACCUCACUAAGGUUAGAGGCCUUGGCAUGACAUCUUUAAAGUACCAUAGGAAAUAAACGCGUUGACCUAGAAUUCUAUAUUCAGCAAAAAUAUCCUUCAGAAAAGUAAAAGGAGACGGGCAUUGGGAGCAAUUCCAGGUCUAUGCAGAAAACAAGCAAGAGUAGCCUGAGACAUAUUCUUAGGCUGGGAAGCAAGGACACUAUCAAAGCUGACUGCGGUAAUGUUGAAAGUUAUUUAUUACCAUUUAACAAACCCAAAACUUAGUAGCUUAAAAAUAACAAUCACUUAUUUUACUCAUAAAUUUGGGCAGCAUUUGACUUGAAAGUUUGUCUGCCCUAUGUGGUGUUGACUGAGGUCACUUGGGGAUAUUUAUGUGAAGUCCAAGCUGAUCCAACAUGGCUUUACUGGUGCGUCUGGCUCCUUCUUAGAGAUGGUUGAAAGGCUGGAUGCACUGGGUCACUUUUGGUCUCUAACCGAUCUUUAAAUUUUCCCCCCAAAUUAUGUUAGAUACAGAUGAAGUAAAUUGGCAUAUCUUCUACCCCAGAAAAAUUUUCCUAUCCGUGUUAUUGAAUAUAGCUGUUUUAUCCCUACUGUGAUGGGUCGUUUCACCAAAGAUUUUGACCAUUUAAGGUUGUAUGGUAGGGGUCCUAAGGUAUUUGUCUUGACCUCACUAGCUUUUAUCUUUACAGAUCUUACAAUCCAAUUGCUCCCAGUGAGUUCAAUGUUUUUUUUUGUCUUUUUUAUUUUUGCAGCGAGGGGUUAAGGUUCCACAUAUCAGUGAUACCAUGCAAUAUUUGUCUUUUUUGGCUUAUUUCACUUAGCAUAACGUCCCCCAGGUUCAUUCAGGUUGUAGCACAUGACAGGAUUUCCUUCUUUUUUAAGGCUGAAUAAUAUUCCGUUAUAUAAUUUACCACACACGCACACACGC